GAUGAACGCUGGCGGCGUGCCUAAUACAUGCAAGUCGAGCGAACAGAUGAGGAGCUUUCUCCUCUUACGUUAGCGGCGGACGGGUGAGUAACACGUGUAUAACCUACCUAUAAGACUGGGAUAACUUCGGGAAACCGGAGCUAAUACCGGAUAAUAUAUUGAACCGCAUGGUUCAAUAGUGAAAGACGGUUUUGCUGUCACUUAUAGAUGGUUCCGCGCCGCAUUAGCUAGUUGGUAAGGUAACGGCUUACCAAGGCAACGAUGCGUAGCCGACGUGAGAGGGUGAUCGGACACACGGGAACAGAGACACGGAACAGACUCCUACGGGAGGCAGCAGUAGGGAAUGUGCCGCAAGGGGCGAAAGCAUGACGGAGCAACGCAGCGGGAGUGAUGAAGGUCUGCGGAUCGUAAAACUAUGUGAUUAGGGAAGAAAAAAUGUGUAAGUAACUAUGCACGUAUUGACGGUAACUAAACAGAAAGCCACGGCUAACUACGUG
rnacentral:rRNA from 1 species